UUUUCUAAUAUCUCAUAGAUUUUAAAUGGAAUGACUCUUUUACUACAUACUCUUACUAUGAAUAUGCAUGUUUAUGCAUAACAAAACAGCUAACGUUUUUACUCGUUUCGUCAUUUUAGCAAGAAAACUGGCAGCAGUUCAGUUUGGCUACUCGAUGUUUCUUAGUAAGAGCGUGGCAUAUGCCAUGUUUUUGGCAAUUCUGGUGUGGAAAUUCAAGCCUGCAAAGGAGAAGAAGCUGCUAGAAGAAAACUAAAGCAGUUUUGUCAACUGAAGCCUCCAAACAGAUGAUUAAAAAAAUAGCCUGUGGAGAAACGAAGACAAAUCAAGCACUGCCACAAAACACGGCAUUACACCUGUAUGUGUUUAAAUCUGCAUUUUAUGUAAUGAUAAUGGAUACAAGCUUAAGAUAAAAAAAUGCUAAUUACAUUUAGAUGAUUGUCAUUUUUCCCUGCGGAAAAAUCCAGCUCAAGACCAUCUUCUGCAAGUAGCUGGUUUUGUAUGAGAUGGUCUUUGAUGGUUAAAGGUGAUUUUAAAAGCUGGUCAUCCCGCUAAAACAUAAGCUUGACCUGUAUAGUGAAUGUUGCAUCUUGCUGGUCUUGCUUGGUCUUGCUGGUCAUACUGGUUAUCUAGCUUAACCAGAUUAAACUGAACAUGCUAGUGUUUUCAGCAGGGCUGUUAUGCUUUGUAAAUUUGCUCUGAGAAGUUUUAAAUAUAUCUUUGCUUUUAACAUUCUUUUUUUAUAUCCUACAAUAUCAUGUACAUUGAAACAAAUAAAAUGAUUAAUUGUAAUAUAAAUAAACUGUGUUAAAUGUUA